rnacentral:tRNA from 1 species
GGGCCGGUAGCUUAGCAUAGUGAGAUUGUCACGCUGAAGGUUAGAGCACCCGGCUGAUAACCGGGAGGUCGCCGGUUCAAGUCCGGCCCGGCCCA